rnacentral:rRNA from 1 species
CAGUCGCCGCGGUAAUACGUAGGUGGCAAGCGUUGUCCGGAAUUAUUGGCCGUAAAGGGCUCGCAGGCGGUUUCUUAAGUCUGAUGUGAAAGCCCCCGGCUCAACCGGGGAGGGUCAUUGGAAACUGGGAAACUUGAGUGCAGAAGAGGAGAGUUGAAUUCCACGUGUAGCGGUGAAAUGCGUAGAGAUGUGGGGGAACACCAGUGGCGAAGGCGACUCUCUGGUCUGUAACUGACGCUGAGGAGCGAAAGCGUGGGGAGCGAACAGGAUUAGAUACCCCCGUAGUCCCUGUCUCUUAUAC